rnacentral:rRNA from 1 species
GUAGGUGGCAAGCGUUGUCCGGAAUUAUUGGGCGUAAAGCGCGCGCAGGCUGUUCUUUAAGUCUGAUGUGAAAGCCCACGGCUCAACCGUGGAGGGUCAUUGGAAACUGGAGAACUUGAGUACAGAAGAGGAAAGCGGAAUUCCACGUGUAGCGGUGAAAUGCGUAGAGAUGUGGAGGAACACCAGUGGCGAAGGCGGCUUUCUGGUCUGUAACUGACGCUGAGGCGCGAAAGCGUGGGGGAGCAAACAGGAUUAGAUACCCUGGUAGUCCACGCCGUAAACCGAUGAGUGCUAAGUGUUAGGGGGGUUUUCCGCCCCGUUAGUGCUGCAGCUAACGCAUUAAGCACUCCGCCUGGGAGUACGGCCGCAAGGCUG